ACACAAGAAGCUCAUAGCCAAUCAAAGCCUCUCCAUCUCCGAAGCUCCAACCGAACCGAGGAUGUCUUGCUGCGGAGGAAACUGCGGCUGCGGCACCGCCUGCAAGUGCGGCAACGGCUGCGGCGGCUGCAACAUGUACCCGGAGGCCGAGGCCGCCGGCGCCACCCUCCUCGUCUCCGCCACCGCCACCCACAAGGCGUACGUCCCUUCUCCUUCCUCAUAUAUCAUGCACUCGAUCGUAACAAUAUGACUGUAUGUUGAUCUUGGUAUGGGUGGGGUACGUGCAGGAGCUCCGGCGGCAUGGAGAUGGCGGCCGAGAACGGCGGCUGCGGCUGCACCCAGUGCAAGUGCGGCACCAGCUGCGGCUGCUCCUGCUGCAGCUGCUAGAUCAUUGAUCAUCGAUCAUGCAUGCACCGCGCGUGCAGCAUCGAUCAUAUCGAUCUACUACUACCAUACCAUGUAGCCGGUACCUGAUCGAGGGCCUUAUCUAUGCACCUGACCUGCAUCAGCAGUCAGGUGCCAUGCCAUGCUUGUUGUAAACAGGCCCCCCUAAAUAAAAUCUCCCUGGUUUAACUAUACGUGUGUGUCUGUGCUAUGCAUAUAUCAUCACCUUCUUUUUCUUUUUCUUCUUCUUCAUGGCUCAAAAAACACUAUUUAAGAGCUGAGAGCGUUGAGAAAAUUUGAAAUGAUCAUAAGCAGAAGAUUAAGAUGUUGUGAGUUUUGCCCAAGAAAAUGAAUAUCUAAUAAAUGUUGAAGACGUACCUGAACGGAAAAUAUCAGUGGAUGCAUCUUACCAUGCAUGCUGAUGCUCGAAAAAUAAAAAAGGAUGCCGCUUUACCAUAUCUUUAUCUUUACCUAAUAUUAAAGGGAGGAUUGUUUCUCCAGUUUUUUUCGUUUACGGUGGGACCAAAAUAAUUUUCGUACGUCCCAGCGGUUUCUCCCGAUUCCUUUCUGUCCGAAAAGAAAAACACAGCACGCACAGAUCCGUAAUGGGCCGGCCCAUUAGCAUACCAACAGCCCGCCCCAGCAAAAACAUAUCCAAGAAUAAAUACUGCACUGCAAGGAAUUGAACCCUGCCGCUCAAGCUAGACGCUAAGAGUGCUAGCCAGUAGACUAAGCAAGCCUUGGUGUCUAAUAAGCAGCGCAAAAUUUUAAAUUUAGGUAGCAGUCACGCGAGAUAGUGAGAGGAAAAGAUAUUUUUAAAUGUAAAUAUCUUUUGGAACGCGAAAAAUUUGCAAAGUUGUUAAUAAAAAAAUGAAACUCAAACUUUUUUAAAAGAAAAACAAUAUUUUUAUUUUUAUUUUAUUUUUUGAAACCUAAUUAUUUUUUAAAACAAGGAGGUACUAAUGUGAUUAUUUUUGAAAUUAGCAAACAUUUUAAAAACACAAAUAUGUUUUGGACUUUAAAUUUGUAAAGGCAAAUAUUUUUUAAAACAUGUUUUUUAAAAAAAUGGGAGGUACUGUAGCUAAAUUGCUUUAAUCUAUACUAUUAAUAAAACUUGGCGAAUAUUUUAAAUAUGCGCACCUGAUGGAUUGUUUUAGUUCAAUUUAUUAAACUAGGGACAUGGAAGGAAUCUUUUUCUCUGUCGCGUCUUCACGUACUACCAGUUUCAUUCAGCCCAGUGACUCCCGUCAAAAUGCAUAAGGAGUCCAACUAAGGUUUCAUGGUCUAUCUGAUACAAACUACUCAAUUUAUAUGAUGACACAUACAUAUAGUAUGUGCAGUGCUUUUUCCUACUCCCUUUGUUCCUAAUAUUUGUCUUUUUAGAGAUGUCAAAUGGACUAUAUAUCUCAUAGGAUGUAUAUAGUCAUAUUUUAGAGCAUAGAUUCACUUAUUUUGUUCCGGAUGUAGUCACCUGUUGAAAUCUCUAGAAAGACAAAUAUUUAGGAACGGAGGGAGUAUUAUAUUAGCCAGAUGAUUAAAAAAACUUUGUUUAACGUUCUUGAUCUUCGCCGGGCACGAAAGCGACUAAACAAUCCAGCUAUUGGACCUGGCCAACCUUGGUUAGUGACAACUGGUACCGCGACCACCGGCGACGAGGACGGCAAAGACGACAAGCGGAAGCAUGUGUCUAAUGUUAUAUUGAAAUGGAGGAUGUGGACCUUCGCUGGCACGACAAUAUUAGCAAGACAUUUCCCCUUUUUUUCCACUGCCAAAAAACAUAUUAGCAAUAUAUUUUAAACAACCAAUCAAUGCUACAUAUUAUUAUUUCACUUUACUGUUGUCAUUGUGUUGUUUUCAUAUAUUAUUUUCUGUCGGAUUGUUGGUGUGUGGCUGUAUGCAUCUUAGUUCUCUAUGUGAUUGAUACUACUCUAGUUGCAUUUUAUUUUAGAUUUACUACUCUAGUUGCAUGGAAAUCAGCUCAGUAGCAUUUUUACUUUAUUUUUUGCCUUGGCCCAUUAGUUUUUAGUACACACACGAACGGCCUUGGGCCUAUUAUUUACAUGCCUAGCUGUACAGAUGGUGCAUUUCCAUGAGCCCAAGUAGCAUACUCUAGUUCAUUUAACGGAAAACUCUGUUGGUAUCUGAAAAUGGGAAGAGUUUCUUUGCAAGAACAGUUCAGUAACACUAGGGUUCAGCCAACUAUAUUAUGAUAAUCGUUGGCCUGCAAUCAAGCUCUGCAUGCGUUCACAUGAUGAAUUCUUUUCUUGUGGAUCAGUGACUUAAGCAUAUAUAAGUUGUAAAAAUUUCCAGCUUCUACAGUUUUUUUUGGCGAGAUCAGUGUGUUGUUCCAAAAGUGUUGGACAGAACUGUCAUCAAAAUUAGUUCAAUGACAGUUGGCCAACUAUAUAUAAAUUUCUGGUUGGGCUGUGAUACUUGUGUGAAACUAAUUUUCUUGACAUCGUAUAUUUUUUCUUCUUAUGAACCAGUGGAGCAUUAUUUGAGCAUCGUAUAUAUCAGUUGUAUGACCUUCUAGGGGAACUUAAUUACCUGAUCAUUAUGGUUUCGUGGUGUAGUUGGUUAUCACGUCAGUCUAACACACUGAAGGUCUCCGGUUCGAACCCGGGCGAAGCCAUCAAGUCUUUUUUUUUGUUUUUUUUCAUUGUGCACAAAAAAAGAGAAAACAAAAUAAAAAUUAAUGGCCCAUACAGGUCUCGAACCUGUUACCUUCGCGUUAUUAGCACGACGCUCUAACCAGCUGAGCUAAAAGGCCUUCUCCUUGUUUGGAAAGAGUUCUCUUCUAUACUUCGAAAAACAGAAUAAGACUUUUGGUGAGAGGAAAAGAGUAAGAUCACCUGAGCCCUUUUUUGACCAUUAAGCUGAUGCUAUAAUCACAAUAAAAAAAAACAUCUUUGCUCGUUAGAGCGAUCUGCAAAAUGCAGCAACAAUCUUGGUUCGUGGCUAUCUAGAUUGCCAUGUCACUAUCCACGUUUGUAUGUAUUCGUGGCUGCCGGGGCCAUUUUGUCAUUGUUUCUUGCAACAGCUUCAUAGUGAUACAGUAAUACCCCGCAAAAAAGAAGAAGUGAUAAAGCCAUACAAUGGAAGCAGGCGAGUAAGAACAAGUAUAUGCCCGCUCAAGGCGCAUAUUCAGACCCGUCAUUUUGAUAGUGCAGAACCCUAGCCACCCCUCCUCCUCCUCCCUAGCCGCCCCUCCUCCUCUUCCCUUCCUCGCCGCCGCCUGAGGCAGCCGCCAGGCAAGCCCGGGGCGAUGGUGGCGGGCGAGCCUCGGUUGCCCUGCCUCUGCGUUGGGAACUCCGGAUCUGGAGCAGCGACUUCAUUGGCAAGGCACGGCCGGCUAGCAGCCGUGCGAGCGGUGGAUCUAGUGUCCCGGCUGAGCGGGCGGUGGGAUCCGGUGGUCGUUAGCGGCUGGCGGCGAUUUCUGUGGUGGGCGGUGCACGCGAUCUCGUGCCUCCCCUCCUCCCCUGUUCGGCAUGCGGGCCAUCCUCGUCGGACCGCGCUUCCUUGGGUCGCCGGUUAUGUACAGGAGGCGCUGCUGGUGGCGGGGAUCUAGUUCGGGCGAAAUCCCUGGUCGGCCCUGGCCGGCCACGUCGAUGGCGACGCCUGAGGGCGCCGUUCCCCUUCUUGGAGGCGUCGGUAUGAACCGAUUCCCUCACUUCCCCUUCCCCUAGGUCUCCCGGGCGAAAGCCCUAACUUUGUUGGGCGGCGACGGCGCUCACGGCGCCGUUCCCUUUUUGAAGGCGCCUCUUUGGAAACCUUGGGGCUGGGUGGCGCUUGUGGGUGGUGGGUGAUGGCGGUGGUGCGGCCCUAUCCUAGCAUGGAUUUGCGUCCGUUGCUUGGAGAUGGACUCGCGUAUGUGGAGGUCGUCGUUUGGCGUCAUGGUGGCGUCAAUGGCGAAGGUACCUGCCAAGGUUGGCACCUCAAUCUGCUAUGAAGAUGGACCAGUGGAAGAUGGCAGCGACGACACAUGUGAGUGCGUCGCAUUGGUUUGUGACCCGGACCCGGUAUGUGUCUCGGUCGGGGCCUCCGGCUUUAAAUGUUAGGCUUAGAUGAGAUGUCUGGGUAUUUGGCCCAGCUUGCACCCCUUCAUUAUAUGGAUUGGAGUGGCGGCAGAUGUUGCCAAGAUGGCGGAUUCAGACAUAUUGUUGUACUACUUUGUAAGGUCCUCGAGAAUAAUCAAUAAAAUGGCCGUAUGCAUCUCCCAGAUACAGAGGUCAGGGUCAUCCUCCUUUUCUAAAAAAAUAAAAUUUGAUAGUGCAUUGAUUUAAGCGUUCCAAGAGAAAAGAAUCACUCUCGACUUCUGCGUCACAGAAUGCAUGCAGCCAAAAAAAAAAUUUCCGUUACGUGGAAAAAUAACUAUAUUUUUUUGUAGUAUCCCUUCCUUCUCUAUACUUUGCUGGAAAUAUAACGUCGGGAGUUCAAGGCGCCAUAUGAAAUAUUGGUCAAUGGCUUACCGUUGGGUUCCUCGGUCAUCUCCAUUAAUCAAUCAUCACCGCAGUAAUCUUUGGUAUGCGGCGUUUAAACCCAUGUGCAUAUACAUGGAGAUGGAAGUUGCAUAUCGAUCUGAUGAUUAGAACAAAAGAUUAAGAAGAGGAUAAAUUAAAAGAAAAAUCAUCACAAGAAGAAAGCAGGGAAGAUUAUAUUUGCUCAAUGGAACAAUCUGCAUAAUGCAGCGAAAAAUCUUUGUCCUUGUCUAGUUUCUCAUUUCGUGGUCCAUGCUUGUAAGUAUUUGUCUUUGUUGCAACCUUUUUUGUCUAUGUGUUCUAAGGCUGUGUUCAGAAAUCCACCGCUCCGUCAUCAGAGAGCGGAGCGCGCGGAGCGCCCUGUUUGCCGAUCUCCGUAUUUUUACGGUAUGCGGCUCCGCUUCACGGCGGAGUGACUCCGAACGAAGCCUAACUUUAUGUGAUGUGAUGUGUAUGUAAAUCAUCAUGCAAAGCGUGCGAAUAAUAAUCCUCUCAACAUGCAUCUCGAUUCAAAUCGACAUGUCAUGUCUACAGUUGCAUCUAAGCGCCCGAGGCAAAAAUAACCAUUCCCAGUCACUGCAUCAUAUGUUGCACAUAGCCAAACUCUUUUGAGUAAGGGCGUAUAUCUCGUGACAAAACAAAAAUAUAUUUUGAGGAUAUUCCUCCCUUCUCUAGGUAUACAUGGAUGGAAAUAUAUCAGCCAAUGAGAAUCACCCAAGACAACACGUGAAUUUUCUGAGAUAUUUAUCCCCACUAUACUGCACAAAGUCAUCAUAUGAGGACAAUUGUGUAAGAAAAAUAGUUUAAUUCAAGAACUGCAUAGCCAUAGAUGGAGCUUUCCGCAGGGGGCGACGAGAAAUUGGACCACCAACUCAGUUUGCCUAUCACCCUUUCCCAUUGCUUUCAUCUGCAAAUUAACAAAACACUAGUUGAAUUGAGAUCUGUGUUAAAAUCCUUACGUGCAUUCUAUUAUUUUGUUCACAUAUUUAUGUUUCAUUUAAUAGCACAUGGCAUGAAAAAUCAUAAAUUUCUACAAGAAUACAUAAUACUCAAGCAUGUAUAUUAGGAUUGUUUUUGUGAUUUUUCAAAGCAUGAUAAAUAAAUAAAAAGAAAUCCAGCAAGGCUAAUGAGCCCAAGGCCGGGUGGAAUUUAUUAAUACCAAAUGAUUGAAUAAUAUAUGCAAGGAAAACAAUGUUCGGACUUCUAAACAGUUAUGAUGUAUUUCAUUCAAAGAAAUCAUAUAAAAAAUUGGAGGGUUCUAUUUGGUAGAAAUAAAUAAAUUAUAUGGGACUUAUUUGAUCGUAUAAGUAUGGUGACCACAAAAAUGAUUCGUGUGGCCUACUUUGCAUGAAUUCGAAGAAAAAAAUCUGUUGAAUCAAAUCUUGUGUGAAAAAAUUCAUUGGUUUGACGGAAACUUCGUGCUCGUACCUAAUGCUUAAAAUAUUCUUGUAUAUUUAUUGGGUGCAACAAAUCAACAUCUAUACAUUACACAUUCCUAUAUUUUGAACUCUCAUCCUAUUCAACGCCCCAGGACAUCAAAUACUUACUUUAAUUUUUCCUGUUCUUGUGUUUUUGAAAACUCACAAACAUGAGUAGCCCAAAUUGUUCAAAAAUAGUGGACGUGCGAUAGUUAUUGAAAUACCUAUAAUAGAGAUGAAAAUGUUUCCAAAAUCCAGGAUGUAAUACUAAACCAGAAAAAAAGAAAGUUGCUAGACCUUCUAACCCAAGAGGUACCGAGACUUUCAUUGACCUCAGGCUGAGAGUAAUACAUUUUUGCCUUGUAAAAGGUUGAGGGUUAUCGACUGAUGUACAGAAUGGAGUUACUUAGUUUUUUUUAAGGUUUUUUAGUUCAAACUUAACUUAAUGCAUAUUCAGAUUUAACCAAUUAAUAUCAUUAUUUCCAAUAGCUAGCCAACAAAUAUUUAAGCCGAACAAAUCACCAAGAUCCUUCCUCGCGUGAGAUAGAUGUAAUUGUAAUUGCAGAGUAUAAAUCAAUUCCAACAACAAAUGAAUAUUGGCUUUAGUUACUUAUUGUAAAAUGGUAACUAGUUAGAGACGGAGAGAAAUCAAAUGAUGGAGGAGGCGGCCCUAUCCUUAUUCCACUUCCAUAAACGGUGAUCCCUUGGUUGCUCGUAUCCAUCCUUUUGCCAAUAUGUGUGUGUGUUUGUGUGUGUGUGUGUGUCACUACAACAAAACAACCGUGUAAAGUCGCUUUUUCUGGGCCGCUAUUUAUAUUCGUCUCUAUGGUCAAGACACUAGCAUACUAAAGACGCUUCCUGAAACGUUUAUAUAAGCAUCCCAAAUUUAUUUUUAGAAUGAUGAAUUUAUAUAAUAAAUUUAUAUUCUUAAUUAACUUAGAGGCGAUUUUACUCGGAAAAAAAACUUAGAGGCGAUUUGUGAGUCGAUUAGUUAAGCCCGCGAGAUAUUUGGCGCUCGCAAAUUCAUUAUUUUACCGCUUAAAGACUUCCCGCGGCUUUUCGGAUUUUAUUUUUCUAGUAAGAUACUCCGUGUAAUCCUCCCACACCCCCGUCUUUCCAGUUUCCACCUCCCACAGAAAUCCCAAUCUGCGCCGCCACCAAAGCCUAUCCCCCGCGGCAGUUCUCGGCCCUGCUCUGCCCUCCGGCGCCAACUCCACCCUCGGCCGGCGACUUCCCAUUCUCCUAUGUCGGCAUCCUCGCCGGUCGGAGCCCCGCCUGCCGUCGGCUUACUCCCCGUUGACAUGCAUCGCCCCUCCCAACUCUCAUCACCACACCGUCCCGCAAGAUGGGAUCCGCCAUGUCAAGAAGGUGCUCCCUCGAAUCCCAUGUCUUCUACAGUUUUUGAAUUAAAUCAAUCAACGCAGCUUCUUAGUUGACGCAUCCCACGCCUCUAUCUCGAUUGGUUGGUUCUCAACUGAAUUUCAAAAUUUGGACCGACCACUAUACUGAUGCAUCAAAACUUAUCCUGAUGCAUCAAAUCUCAUGAAGUAAAUCUCGAUGGUGGUGUGGCCUGCAGCUUGACAAAUUUUUGUAUUUUGCAUCUCAUUCGUUUGUUCCUUUUUAGGGGGAGAAGGAGCGAAUACAUUAAUCAGGUGCAGGUUCGAAUGACUGGCCAUUAAGUAGACUACAUUUACUCUCUGUGGGAGAGUUCCAGUUUAAUUUGCAAUUCCAACAUGGUUCGUACGUUCAUUGUUUGAUGAUGUAUAGUUUUAGCUUCCAGAAACUAGCAUCACUUUUGCCUAGUACUUACGAAGCAAAAUGACAUAUCUAUGUGGGCUUUUACUUUAUUGGUUCUGGCUUCACAUGACUUCAUGAGACUGACAAGGAUAUUUUUUGGUCCAGCACUAAUGGCUAGUGCGAUUAUUUUCAUGGAUUUUUACUUACUUUAGCUCGGUAGAUGCUCAGUAUUUGUCUUACUUGUACCAUUUUGGGAAGUGUUCAUGCAUCUUAAUUAGGCAUGAGUAAGAUCAGAACAAGCGAAGUUAUGUACAUUUUGGAAAAGAUCCAAACUAGAUAUAGUUUUCCGCUCAGUUUGAUCCAGUACAACUGGUCAGGCAAAUUGUGGUUCGCCAACCUAUCUGAUAUAGCCUUGAAACAUUUUGAUUUUACACAAGUCAGCUAGGGCAUAGGGAAAUGCAUGUUAGUAUCUGACAAUGGAGGAUGCGACUCACUGUUGAAUCAACAAAUUGACCAGAUCAACGCUCUGUUACACACAGCUGCCCUAUACCUAGAAACAAAAAAAGUUGUAUCUCUCUCCCCAGAUACGCCGCAUCCAUGGCUCCUGACAGGGAUAACUUCUAACAUCGAUACUUCCCGAACAUCUGGGUGAUGCCACUAGCUACCAACCAAAUUCCCCCCAGCCCCCAUCGGAAGAUGCAACUGAUACCACUACCUUGCAGCCAUAGAUUGAUUCCUUCCUACGCUGGCAGGCUAGAUGUUCAAGGAGGUAGCGGAGGUGCAGCCGUGUGUCCAUCCUCUCCCAUGGAAGGCACCUGGUACAAUUUUCUCUCGAAUAUGCACGAGUGUGCAUAUUAUAUAUUAUAGAAGAAAGGCAAAGAGUGCCUCCACCAUAGUUCCAAGGUUCAUAUUACAACACUCCUAAUCCUCACUACUAGCCCACCGUUCAAGCCGAAGGAAGAAGGGGUCCAUGUCUCUCUUAAACUUGCCGGCAAUAGACCACAUUCUUCCUUCCGACCUUACUCUACCUAGUAAAACACCUAACGAAGGUGAUGCCCCAUCAAACACAAUAGCAUUGCGAUGCUUCCACAACUCCCACAAAGUCAGCAAGAAAACCGUAUGAAGAUCCUUCUUGUGCCAGCCGUUAGUCCCAUGCUUCUCCGCAAGCCAGAUGGCUAAGGAAUCGUGUGCAGUCGGAGUCCGGUCCAGCAUGCCCAGCGCCUCACAUACUGCAGCCCACGCUGACCUGGCAAAGACGCACGUCAGUAGCACAUGAUCAAUCAUUUCGUCCUCUUGGUCGCAUAAGGGGCAUGCAUCCUGGUGUGGGAGGCCUCUCCUCGCCAGUCUAUCAGAGGUCCAACACCUGUUUCUUAAGGCAAGCCAAGCAAAAAACUUGCAGGUAGCUGGGGCGUGAGACUUCCAGGUCAGCUCUGCCAUAGGCUCAACCGUCCGUCCCCAAAAUUUUGCCGCGUAAGCCGAGCGCACCGAGAAACGGCCGUUGGUCUCCCAUGACCAACCGACCAAGUCCGGCCCAUCCGCCUGCUGCUCCCACGUGCUUACUUUGAUCCAAAGCUGUAAGUACUCCUGCAAUGCUCCCUCACCAAUAUUCGGGCCAACCUUCGAUGCCCAAGACCCAUUUUGCACAGCCUGGGCGACUGAUCUCGUCAAUCUGGUCCGCCUUGGGAUCAUACCAUAUAUUGUUGGAGCAAUCUCUUGUAUCCGCAUACCAUCUAGCCAACGAUCCUCCCAAAAAAGUGUAUGGAGACCACAGUUUGCUUCACUCCUCAUAGCCGCCUGGACAAGUAACUUAGCUUCUUUGGGGAUCUUGAUCUUGAACUUGCUCCAAGGUUUACUCGUGUCCACUCUUGUGAGCCAUGCCCACCUGGCUUGCAUGGCCACAUUCAGCCAUCUAAGGUUAGGUAUCCCUAAGCCACCAGCCCACUUCGGCGCACACACCGAAUCCCAAGCAACCGCACAGUUCCCUCCGUUAGCUUCCGCUCUUCUGCACCAUAGGAAGCCUCUACACACUUUGUUCAUUGCCGCAAUCGUCUUCUUUGGUAAGUCGAGCGCCAUCAUGGCGUGGAUGGGCAUGGCACAGAGCACAGACUUCACCAAUGUAAGCCGCCCACUCUUCGGCAUUAGAGCCGCUUUCCACUUAGGCAGACAAUUUGCCAUCUGAUCAACUAGAAACUGCAUUUGUGCCGCGGACUGCUUCCUCAAGGUCAGCGGCAGCCCAAGGUACUUAAUUGGAAAAGCCCCUCUCGGGCAUCCCAGCCGAUGACACACCGUACCUGCCUCCUGAUCAUUGCAUCUUAUCGGUAGGGCCACCGAUUUGCCCAUGUUUAUCCUCAAGCCCGAAGCCUCUCCAAACAUUUCCAGAAUGUUCUUGCAUAUGUCUAGCUCCGUGGACUUGGGCUUGAUGAACACCACCACAUCAUCAGCAAAUAUAGACAAGCGCUGCCUCAUACCUGUAUGUGCCAAGGGCUCCAACACACCACUAGUUGUGGCCCUCUGAAACAACCUCUGCAACGGUUCCAUAGUAAGAAUGAAUAGCAUCGGCGAUAUCGGAUCCCCUUGUCGCAGCCCCUUGCAGUCAUAGAUGGUGUCGCCGGGGUCUCCAUUUACCAUGACUUUGGUGGUGGAUGUUGAAAGGAUUCCACAGAUCCAGGAUCUCCACCGAGGGCCAAACCCCAUUUGUUGCAUCACCUCAAGCAAGAACGGCCACUGCACCGAAUUGAAGGCCUUCGAAAUAUCUAACUUUAGAAGCACCGAGGGCAUCCUUAGGGCAUUCAGCCUUCGGGCCAUACUUUGAACCAACAUGAAGUUGUCAUGCAGCGAUCGACCUUUCACAAAAGCGCUCUGGUGGUUUCCAAUCAACUGCGGAAGGUGCACCACCAAGCGACAAGCAAGCACCUUCUCAAAAAUUUUGAUAGCCCCAUGCACGAGGUUGAUCGGCCUGAAGUCACCCACAUCCAAAGCACCAUCCAUCUUAGGCAAUAAUGUCACCAAAGAUUUGUUGAUAGCCGCCAAUCCCCUCAUGUCUCCAUUGUAGAAGCAAUCCAUGGCCUUCAUGAAAUCUACCUUAAUAAUGUUCCAACACUUUGCAUAGAACCGGCCCGUGAACCCAUCCGGCCCUGGCGCCCUAUCCGGGGGCAUAUCCUUAAUCACGUUUUCCACUUCCUCCAUAGUGAACGCCACCUCCAACUGUGAUAGGUCCAGAUGCGGCAGGUCUAGCCCCUGUAGGUUUAGUGUGUAACUCCGUGGCUCCACGGUGCCGAAAGCCCUGCCGUAGUACGCAUCCACCGCUGACGCCACCUCUUCCUGCCCUGAGUGAAUAGCCCCAUUGUAUUUCACCGAUUUGAGUACAUUCUUCCGCUGCCUGUGACUAGCUUGUUGAUGGAAAAGCCUCGUGCUCCCAUCCCCUUCUCGGAGCUGCAGUAGCCUGGAGCGUUGUCUUGCGAUAGUUCUCUCCAGUGAGCAUAGCCCUAACAGCUUCCUCUUUAAGCGUCGCCUCAAAUCCCUCUCUGCGUCUGCUAGCUGUCUUGAUUCCAUGGCAACGUCUAGCUGCUUUAUCACCUCCAAUGCAAUGAAUAUCUGUAACUUUACAUUACCAAUCCAACGGUUGCUCCACUUCUGAAGACUAACCGCCGUGGCCCUCAGCUUGUUCUGGAGCGUAAGAUAGUCGUUCGAGGCCACAGGGGUGGAGUCCCAAGCCGCCUGUACUGUUUCCAUGAAUCCCUCCGCCUUGACCCAGAACGCCUCAAACUUGAACCUUUUCCUCGUCAUAAUCUUCAAGUUCAUAUCGAGAAGCAGUGGGCAGUGAUCCGAUACUGCCGUACCCAGCGCAGAAAGGAAACAUGAUGGGAAUGCUUCAUCCCAUUCAUUGGAGACAAAGACAUGAUCGAUUUUCUCUAGUGUUGCGUUCUGCCUCUCGUUAGACCAAGUGUAUCGUCGCCCAUUCAAGUAUAACUCCUUCAGUUCUAGCAUGUUCAGCUUAGAUCUGAACCGCCUUAACAUCCUCCGAUUAAUCAAAUCAUUGUUCUUGUCCUCCUGCCCAGCUAUGAGAUUAAAGUCUCCAGCAACUAGCCAAGGCCCCGCGUGCAGGUCCCGUAUAUCCACCAGGUCUUGUAGGAACUCAAGUUUGUCGGCCUCCUCCUGGGGGCCGUAGACACAUGUCAACCACCAGGCUUGUUCAUCCUCCGGACACUUGACCAGUGCCGUCAACGUAUGAUUUGUGUAGUGUGGGUUGGACAAGUGAGUAAUAGAUUCAUCCCACGCCACCAAGAUCCCACCACGUGUUCCCAACGCCGGUAAGUAGAAGAACUUCUCAUAUUUAUUACCAAGGCAUUGGCGCACAAUGCUUGCAGAUACAUCAUGCAAUUUCGUCUCUUGUAGACAUACAAUGGCCGGAUUGGCGGAUGUCACCACCUGAAAUAGAGCGUUCCUCCUCGCCGGAGCAUUAAGCCCACGGACAUUCCACACCAACAUCUUAAGGGGUUGUGCAUUCAUUUGCGAUGCCCACAACGACCCCGCGUAGCAGAACGGGUCACUAGGCCACAGCCGGCCCGUCGAUCCACGGUUCCUGGGGUGAUUCCCAUCCAAACAAGGCCAGCACAGCCGCAAUGUGCGCGUCCGAGAGCGGGCGUGAGAAAAGGUCAAUGUACAUCCGGAGGGCAUCCUCCGAAAUAGCCUCUCCCUCAUGUGCCAAGCACAACUUCCUGAUGAGCACUUGUUGCGGCUUAGAUGCCGCAUGUUUGGCAAUCCCGGCACUCCUCCUGGGCGUGACUUCGAUCCUCUGCUUCUUCCUUGCCUGACGGCAGGUGUGGGCAACAUUCCUUCUAUUCGGCCUGGGCAAGAUCGGAGACAAGGGUUGGCGAACACCAGCACAAAAUGCCCCCACGUCUACGUGAAACUCGUCCCCCACCCCUGCCUGCAUGGGAGCGGCGCUGCAUGGCCUCGAAUCCAACGCAUGGCCAAGCUCCUCCUCAGGUGGGUCCUUAUCCACCCCAUUGGCCGGACAGUGUGGCCUGCAUGCCAGUUGGUUGGCCAUAUGGCCCACCUCGUCCUCUGGCUGGCUCGCGUCAGGCGCCUACCCAACCAUACCCGGCCUCGGGUCCUGCAGCGGGCUUGUAUCCCCCGAGGAGAGGCUGACCUGGAAAGUGUCCCAGGGCUCCACCUGCAUGGCGCAAUCCUCCACAUCCUGUUGCAACGACAGGAGUUCCUGAUUUUCCCCAGUCCCGAAGCUUGCCAAAUCUUCGUCCGUCAUAUCCUGCAGGAGGAAGGGGAUUUGAACCAAUCCGAUCUGCAUAGAUCCAUGCACAUUCCAGCCUCCAAUGGGCACCCGGACCGAGGCGGCGGCCCCACUCCCCUGCGUCCCAGCAGCUUCGUCCACCUCCUUCUAUCGCCACCUGAUUAGCUGCACCGAUGGUGGUGAGCACGCAGUCUUCAUGGACCCCAUCGCUGUCGGGGCCGGGCAGGACGCCUCGCGUGACAGGGAACAGCUGGCCCCCAACGCGCCGGGCCCCAAGAUUGGCUGAACGACCGGGCCCGUGGGGAUACGCAUGGCGUCAGCCACGCGGCAGUUGCUGACCAACCCGUCAUCCAUCCGCAUCAUUUGACCGCGGUUGCGCGCACCCCUCGUCGGCAACGCCGCCGCCGCCGUAGACGAUCCGGCCGUGCUCGCCGAAUCACCACCAUGGCCGCCCGUACACCAAGCGCAACCACCCUGUCCACCUUGACCACCAUGGUCACCAGGCGCUGGAUCGUCAUUCCCAGUGGGUGGCGAUGGAGGCGGAGGCGGCGCCGGCCGCCCCUCCAUAGCCUCGUCGUCCACCAACGGGUCCGCCAAUACCUCGAUGUCGAUAGGAUACGAGAGUGCCGUAGUGCACCGUCCCACAGUCAGUCGCUGUCCUUCCUCCAUGGCCCAAAGUGUUCGCCGGGGUUCGUCGAUGAAGAGCAAACGCCACCUCAGAAUCCGCUGCGGACGGUCUGUGCGCAGCCAGACCCGGAAGUCCGCCAUGUCCGCACGACUGGCGGUGUCUUCGUCCACCCCCACAACGUAGCCUAAGCCACGCAAGACCACGCUCGCCGUCCUCUGGCUCCAGGCGUGUGCCGGCACCCCUCGCAGAGAGAUCGGGACGAGGAAGGGCAGGGAUGCCGCCGUGGCCUGCGACUGGCGAAUCCAGGGCCGCAAGGAGAGCUCGAACCAUGAGGAACUCGCCCGGCCUUCACGCACCAUCCGAUCCCGGAGAUCACCGUCCUGGCAGAGCACCAAGAAAUCCUCCGGAUAGUAACGUCGAAUGGACAUUUCCGCCGGGCCGACGCCGAAUGCCGCAUGCAGAGCACGCGCCGCCGAGUCCACGUCCAUCGAAGGCCUGGUGCCGGUCACAGUGACAAGCACAGCUCGCGCCAGCUCCGCCUCCAGCCGCCGCGUGUCUUCCGCCGCCUCCAAGAAGCAGACCUCCAUCUGCUCCGGCUCCGGACGAGGCGGCGUGGCCUCCAGGGAGCCAAAAGGUGCCGUGAAUUCCAGCGAAGCCCGUCUCGCCGACGAUGCCGCAGGAGGCCCUUGCACCACAUGGCUCCACAAGCGCACCGCGCCCGGCGGAGGUGGCCCCGGCGGCGGAGGAGGUAAGACCGAGGGCGGGCGAUGCGGCGAGGCCGGCGGCGAGGGCGCAUCCACAGCAGCCCGAAGACGGAGCGCCGGAGGCAGGCGCGGCUGCUGCUCCACUGGAGACGGACUGCGCGGCCGAGUGCACCCGCGCGAGGUAUGGCCGGCACCGCGGCAACGGACGCAGAACGUGGGGUUGGUGCACUCCCUGGAGAUAUGGCCCUCGCUGCCACAGUUAUAGCAGCAGCCAUACAGCUCCGCCGGCAGCUUGGAGGUAGGCGGCGGGCGGGCAGCAGUGAGCACGCGCGGCUCACCAGCCGGGCGGCGACGCCUCGGACGCAAGACGCGGACAGGCGGGGCACGCGGGCGGCGGCCCACCUUGGUCUGCCAGGCCCCAACCCCGGACAGAGGAGCCGGAGCGCGCGAGGAGCCAGCCCCGCCCUGGAUCACCGGGCCGAAGGGAGUGCCCAAGAUCUCCGGGACGACGACCAUGGACCUGAGCCGCGGCCGCAACUGCGCCGGAGGAGGGGAGAUCCGCGCGGAAGGCACGCGGGGUGGGGAGGGCAUAGGAGCCCGGGGCGGAGAGGGGGAAGCCGCCGACCCGGACGAGAACGACCCCGAGAGAGAGACCUUAGAGGCCAUGGCGCUGCGGGAGGGUGGGCGCCGCCUCCGGGGUGGAGCGCGACGCUUAUGGUGGCCGCCGGCGCCGGAGUGACGGCCGGCGCGGAGCGCAGGAGCGCAGGGGAGGAGCGCAGCGCAGUGAACUUGACAAGUGUAAACUUAAUACUAAGCUUUUUUGCACCUGGUACAAUGGUACCCCAUGAUCCUCCUUCCAAUUGAUUUUUUUAUUGUCAAUUUGUGUUUGGCCCCAAACAUUUUUUUUCCUUCUUCAAUAAGUACAACUCCUAUGAGCGAUUGAUCAGAGCUCUAAUUUCGGGUGUUGAUUGAGUUCACCUUGUUAUGUAUAGAAUGAAUGAUGGGAUUCAUGUUUUUGUACAUAUCACAGAGGAUCUAGUAUGAUAAUAUUAAUACUUCUACAUAGUAUUACCUCACCUUCCAUACCAU
rnacentral:lncRNA from 1 species